rnacentral:lncRNA from 1 species
CAGAUAUUGGUUUUGUGCCUAGUAUGUUCCCUGAGGUGUACAGGGAACCUCAAGGAGCUCCCAGACUAUGGGAGUGACCCCUGCGGAGCUGACAAGCCAAUGCUGGAGAAGUGCACGGGCAGGCUCAGGCGCAGCCACUCAAUGGGCCUGUCUGUGUCGGGGGCAGGGGCACAGAGAGGGGCAGGUGAGUCGAAGCUGAUUGGGUGAAGAAAAGACAGUGAAAAGACGGUGAGACCAAAGGCACAGAGCGGGUUUCCCGCCCCAGCUACCACGCUGGUCUGCAGAGCGAGCCUUUCGACAUGCUAAAGUGAACUUUGAAACUGCGAGAAGAUGUGGCACACACGGCAGGUGACGGGAGUCUGACCAGAGGAGUCGGGGACCAUCUGAGAAGACGCGUGUUCUCUAAACACGGCUUGGAAAAUAGGUACUGGUUUUCAAAUGCGCUCAGUGAACUCCUUAGACAAGCUUUGAGAAGAGGCAAAGAAGCAGGAUGUCGGCCCGUUUCAAGGACAGUCUUCUCCUGCUCGUUUCUUUCACAUGUCUGGCUCUGCAGUGACUAAGCUUUCCUUUGAAGAAAGGUUUCUUUGACUAUCGCAACCCCCCAAGAAAAGGAUUCUAGAAAUAUUUGUGGAUGCUCAAGACCGAAGCUCAACUGUCAGCUAUUUUCCCCCUGGCCUUGCUACUCCUGAGACUUCAAUAUGGUAUUUUUGGAAUGAAACCACAUAUGAAAUCCAAAAGGCAAAAACCUCUGACUUUUCCCCACAAGUGUGUUAGAACCAGGAGCAAAGGGAAGGGCGCCCUCUUGGUGGGAGGUCACUCAUGAAGCUGGACAGAGGCCAGAGACCCGGCAGUUUGGUGACUUGUGUCUAAGCUCUGAGUGUGGAUCCCUGGCUGGACAUUCCCAGCUGCAGCACCAGGCUGUCCUGGGCAGAGGACUCCAGUCCCUGCAUUCAAGCGUCAGUCACCUCAGCAUUCACAGCGGCAGCCCGCGGGGUAAGGUAGCUGAAGACUAGAGGCCUGCUCCCGUGGGACAGAUUUACACAACAAUUCAUCACCAUCUCCUGGUGAGGGGGAGAUGUUCAAAACUGUGAAAGGUGUAGAUGCAAAAGCACAGGCCCUCAAACACAAUCAAGUGUGAAACCAGAGAAAAAUGAUCCUUGAGAAUCCGGCUGGGAUUUCAUCUUUAUCCUGCAUUAUCCUAAAGUUCCAGGCCCAAGGUAUGCACUGUUAGCAUAUGUAUACAUCAUUUAAAUGUGGUAAAAGGAAAAUCAAUAAAGGCUGAUGGGCAUGCGUCUCUGGGUCCCCUGGCCACACUGGGCCCUUGCAACUGCCCUCCGGUGUGCCCAGGGCCCGCUCCUGUGGAGGCGCAGCUAAGAAAACCCCUGACAGCAUGCCACAAAAUCAGUUUUCUACCUUCUGCUUUUUUCUUUCUUUUUCCAUUUUUAAAAACUUAUAUACUGCCUAACUUGCUUCGGGCAAAAACCUCUCAACAGGCUGUGGGAUACAUUCAAAAUGAGUAGCAGAAGUGACAACUUAUCUUUAUUUCAACAUGGAAAUGUGGUUUCUCCAGAUGUUUCUAAUGUUCCCAAUAGGGAUUUCCAAAGACUGAAUAUUGCAUCAAGGCUGCCAGCCUGAAGGGCCCUACACAAGGAUAGUGCUUCUGUCUGACGUGCACUCUCUCCUCCGCCACAAACAUACACACACACACACACACACACACAUGCCAGAAAUGUAGACUGUGACUUAAAUCUGUGCACAAGUAAAGAUGAUUCAAGCUGAAACACAUUUUCCCUUCUUGACAUAGUGACUGAUGAUAGUUAGACAUAGAUUAUAGGCAACUGCCUUAUUUGCAGAACCAGUAAGGGUAUGAAAGACUCUUAACCAGCCCAGAGCAUCAAGUAGUGGGUGAAUCAUUCUGAAGGCUGCCUUCCAAGACCACAAGAAAUUAGGGGGCAGCCUAUAAGAAACAGCAAUAGCACACCACACCAUAGGAAAAUCCCAUAUGGCUUCAUCCCAAAGUAUUGCAGAGAGAGAGAGAGAGAGAUCUCACAAAGUUGGAGACAAAACUUUUGUUAGACAUUGUUUUCUUGUUAUUUGUUUGUUUGUGUCUUUUCAUCACGCCUUUAACUUUUCUGCGAGAUGUGGCAACAGUAGCCACAGCAUGAUUCGAAAAGCGCAUGAAUGAAGGGGCAGUUUGCUUUCGUGCUGCAUGUUGUAUUGUUAUUCAUAGAUGGACAUCUGUGCUUUGUGUUUUGGUUUUUAGGUGUUUUGUAAUACCUUAAAAUGUUUACAGUCAACCAGAACAUGUCUACUUUAGGACAAAAUAGUCAUUUGUUCAAUAAAAAUUUUCUGUUCAUCUAUUAGGUCCCAGGAAUACGUUGCUGGGCAUUUGGAAAUAAGAAUGUGAUCUCAGUCCCUACCCUUAAGGAAUUCAUCAUCUAGUGAGGAGACAGGCACGUAAAGUAUGCACAAUUGUGCAGUAAGAAUAUAGGCAAAGGACCCUUAGGUAGGCCUGAGAAAAUCAGGGGAGAUUCUUAGAAGAGGCGGCAGUUGAACUGAGAUUCCAAGACUAUGUAGGAAUUAGAUGGAUUAAGAGGACGAUGGGCAUUUGAGGCAGUAGGUACAGCACAUAUAAGAGUUUAGUUUGUUUAGGGAACUAUGAGUUGUUU